ensembl:snRNA U6 U6 spliceosomal RNA
UUUCUUGCUUCACAGCACAUGUACUAAAAAUGGAAUGAUACAGAAAAGAUUAGCAUGGCCCCUGAUCAAGGAUGAUGCUCAAAUUGGGCAGUUGACUCAUGAGGAU